UGCAAACGCAAGCAUCGAGUUUUCGGUGUUUGCGUUUGGCAUUGCCAAGACGAGUAAUAACUCGGCUGUUCUUUAACAAUAUGGAAUGUAGUAAAGGUGUCGCGGAGCAUUGAUGAGAUGCUCGCAAAAACGCGACA
rnacentral:misc_RNA from 1 species